UGGGGUAUAUUGCACAAUGGGCGAAAGCCUGAUGCAGCGACGCCGCGUGGGGGAUGAAGGCUUUCGGGUUGUAAACCUCUUUCGCUAUCGAACAAGGCCCGCUUAGGGUUGGUUGAGGGUAGGUGGAGAAGAAGCGCCGGCUAACUACGUGCCAGCAGCCGCGGUAAUACGGAUGGCGCGAGCGUUGUCCGGAAUUCUUGGGCGUAAAGGGCUUGUAGGCGGCGUGUUGCGCCUGCUGUGAAAACACGGGGCUUAACUUCGCGCGUGGAGUGGGUAGGGGAAGGCUUGAGUGUGGGAGGGGUGACUGGAAUUCCAGGUGUAGCGGUGGAAUGCGCAGAUAUCUGAGGAGCACCGAUGGCGAAGGCAGGUCACUGGGCCAUUACUGACGCUGAGGAGCGAAAGCAUGGGUAGCGAACAGG
rnacentral:rRNA from 1 species